rnacentral:lncRNA from 1 species
AAUGGGAUCAUAAGGUUAUAAGAGAGGAAAUUAUUUGGGAUAGUGGUGUUAGGCACCUCUUCCCUUCGGCUUUUUAGCGUCUUUGGUUAGAGAAAAUCUAGUGAGGACGAGGUUACUGGAACAUAUUAAAUGGCCAAACUGUUCCGUGGCAUAGAUUGUAUUCCUAGAUGUGGCCAAUAACCUACCUCAUUCAUUCAGUGUCAAUUCAUUCACUUAGUCAAUUAGAUGCCAGAGAUGAAAAAAAUAUUAAUACUAAGUAGCAAUUUUUAAGCACUUGGGUGCCAGGCACUGUGAGCUUUGUGUUUUCUAGACAGGAUCUCAUUCGAUCCGUACAAUUGCUUAAUGUAAAUAUGUUGUUAUAGCCGUUUAAUAUGAGGAAAUGGAUACUUGAGCACAUUAAGGAACUCACCAAAGGAAGAAGUGAAAAGGAGCCAGGAUUCAAUCUCAGGCAAUAUGAGUCCAUAUCAAACUAGGGAAUUCUCAUUCCCAGGAAACGUGUACCUCAAUGGGGGGGGGGGGGUCAGACACCAAAGGUUAAUAACCUAAUGUGCAUCCACUUAUUAUUUGAUCAUAAUAAUUAAUCGGUCAUUAUACAAUUGUGAUAAGGACUGAGAAGAGGGAUUGAGGACAAUUAGAUUCUGUUGAGACAUCAGAGAAUGCCUCCCUGAGGAAGUGACACCUAAGCUGAGACACAAAAGUUUAGGAUUUGGGUAAAAAGUGGGAAAGGUAGUGAGCUUUCCAGGUGAAGGGAUUUGUCCCAUAAAAAAUUUAAAAAAUGAAUAAUAGGAGAAGACAACAUUUAUUGAUGGAUUAAUAAUAACGAGAUUAUAGUAAAUCCUUCAUAAGGCUUAUCUCUUUUAAUUUACACAGAAACUCUUUGAAAUCGAUAUUAUUAUUUCUCCUAUUUUACCCAUGCAGACACUGACACUGGGUAUAGUUAAGGGAUGUAACCAAAGCCAUAAUCCAGUUAGGGUAGGACAGGGCCUGGACUUCUGCAGUCUAGCUAGAAUUUAUAUUUUCAGUUACAAUUUGUUUUAAGUGGGAAGGAGACUUGUGCAUACUUGUUGGGGGUUGAAUAAUGUUGCCACAAAAUUCAUGUCUACCCAAACUUGGGAAUUCCCUGUUGUGUCUCAGCAGUAACGAAACCGACUAGCAUUCCUGAGGACCCAGAUUCAAUCCCUGGCCUUGCUCAGUGGGUUAAGGAUCCAGCAUUGCCCUCAGCUGGGGUGUAGGUCACAGACGUGGAUCAGAUCCUGUGCUGCUGUGGCUGUGGUGUAGGGCAGCAGCUGCAGCUCCAAUUCAACCCCUAGCCUGGGAACCUCUGUAUGCCACAGGUGCAGCCCUAAAAAGAAAAAAUAAAUAAAUAAAAGAAAGAAAGAGGACACAGAGACAUGGAGAAAAGAGCAAUUAUGAAGACAGAGGCAGAGAUUCAAGGGACGUGUCUACAAGGAUAAGGAACUACAGGAAUUGCCACCCAAUACUAGAAGCUAGGGGAGAUAUGGAACAAUUUCCCCCUCACGGAAGGAACCAGCCCUGCGGUUCCUUCCGUGAGGGGGACUGCUACCCUCUUAAACUGUGAAUCAGUUUCCAAUAUUUUAAGCCACCCGCUGUAUGGCAAUCUACUGUGGCAACCCUAGGAAAAUAAUAUAAGACUUUUUGCCACAGAGGAGACUAGCAAUAAAGUAUAGGAGGAUAUAUUUAUUUAUUCACUCUUAUUCACUGUUUAUACUGAUUGUCAGAUAUGUCAACAAGGGUUAUGACAAACACACAUGAUGCAAAUAUGGGCUCCUCUUCCAAAGACUACAAGGUGAAAAGUACAGGUGUAAUAGAAAAGUAUUAAUCAAUCACAAUAAUAAUAAUAAUAAUAGUCUCAUUCAUGUACUAAGUACUCCUAUACCAGGCACUGUAAGAGAUGGGUUUACAUGCAUUAUUUAAUAGCCAGAAGGUAGAUAUAACUCAUUACAUUUAACAGGUAAGGAAACUGAAGCAUAGGGUUCUUUUGUGGUGCAGUGGGUUAAGGCUCUGGCAUUGUCACAGCAACAGCUCAGAGAGCUGCUGUGGCACAGGUUCAAUUCCUGGCCCAGGAACUUUCUCAUGCCAUGGGCACAGCAAAAAAUAAAUAAAUAAAAAUUUAAAAAAAUAAAAAAGAAACUGAAGCAUGAUGAAGUUAAUUACCUUCUUCAAGACUGUACAUUUCUGCCAAUGAUAGGGCUGGAUCGCAAUUUCCAGUGAAAGGAUAAAGGAAGGAACUCUGAUCUGGGUCUUGAGUGAUGAGCAAUGUUGGGCACUGAUAAAUGGAGGGCAAGGGCCAUAUAGGCGAGAGUAACAGGGAACUUAAAGACAGAAAAACAGAGAAUGGGCUUUUGUUGGUAAUAGAGCGCUCUGAUUUGUUGGAAUGUGUAGUCCACCAAAAAGGAAACAUGGGAAAUUGAUUUGGAAUGGCAGAUUCAGACCAGUUUGAACAAUGAGCAAAUGUCAGGAAGAACUGCAAAAUGAUUCCUUAAAGAGAUUGAAAUUCAGAAUGAUUGAGCUAAGGUGAGUAGAAUGACAUG